UAUGUAAUUGUAUAUGCAUUUUAUAAUUAUAUUAAAUUUAACUAUUGUAAACUAACUAUAAGUCAUAAUCAAAACAAACUAAAAAUAAUUUAAAAGCACUACAAAUUGCAAUGUAAAAAGGCUAGUCAAUUCUUCUUCUCUUUCCCUUUAUCGGACACCCUCGUCCUAAACUUCUACUUAACUCGAUUUCCCACCUAACAUACACCGGCUCUCCUCAUAUCAUUGUCAAUUGCAUUUAACCAACAAAUUUUCAGUUCCCCCCCCCCUUUUUUUUUCUACUACGUUUAUUUUCAUUACAAUUCUUAUGCUUCAGAUUCCUCUUUUCAUGCCAUAUCCUAUGUAUUUUCUCUCAUUUUAUCUACUAUUGAAGCCGCGCUUAUGCUGCCUCUUAUGUGGGUACUAAUUCCUUAUCCUAUCUUCCUUCGUCACUCUACUCAUCCACCUAAACAUUCUUAUCUUUGCUACAUUUAUUUUCUGUUAUAUUUUUUUUGUCUAUUACCCAACUUUUUGAACUAUACAACAUUCACCACACUUUUGAAGAACUUGCAUUUAAGCUCAUGGGAAUUCUCUUGUCACAUAAAACACUUGAUACUUCUCUUCACUUUAUCCAACCGCUCUUAAUUCUAUGUUUCACAUCUUCGUAAAAGUCGUAGGUACUUAAAACUCUCAGCACCACUUAUUACGCUGCUGGUUAUUUGCAUUAGCCGCUCUGUUCCUCCAAAUUCAUACUUUAUCAGAGUCUGAACAUGGUACUGUUCUGGUCCACUCCCACAGUCAAUUAGCUUGAUUCAAUAUAUUGAAAUAAUUCCAAUAGGCAAUAGUUUUAUUAAAUUUAAAUUAUCAUAAUAUUAUUUUAUUAUAAUGUGUACAACAGAUAAUAGAUUGUCUAAGUUGAACAUUUCAAAUUCACGUCGCAGUUACCCUCAACUGAGCUUAUUGAAACAUUUAAAAUGCAAUAAAGAAAAAAACCCCACACGAAAUAAAUGAAAACGUUUUUGUACACUCGAACGUAAAACGUUUUCGAACAUUUAAAACACCAAACGAAAAAAAUUAAAACGAAAUUAUCCUAUACGUUUUUAAUCCCUGGCGAAGACACAUUAUUGACACAUAUUAUGCGUAUGUCGAGCAUGUUUCUCGAAGUGUUUCUCCCUCUUAUUAUUUGUGGCGCUAUCUGGUCCGGCUAUCUUUUUACCUCUGCCGUCUCCCGCUAGACUUUUGCAC